AAAAACAUCUUUUCUUGUUAGUUUCUGAAGUAUGGCCUGCCCGCUGACGUAUUUUGAGUUGAAGGGCCGCGGUAUUUUGACCGUGCAAAGGUAGCAUAGUCAUUAGUUCUUUAAUUGUGAUCUGGUAUGAAUGGCUUGACGAGACAUAGGCUGUCUUGGUAUGAAUUUGUUGUUGAAUUUGGAGUUUAAGUUAAAAUUCUUAGAUGUUUUUAUGGGACGAGAAGACCCUAUAGAGUUUGACAUUUGAUUACGUAUUUCUUAUUGUUUGUUUUAAAUUUUUGCGUGUCUUUUGUUUUGUUGGGGUGAUGGGAGGAAUAUAUUUAACUCCUCUUUUAUGUGGUAUAUUGAUUUGUAUAUGUUUGAUCC
rnacentral:rRNA from 1 species